GAAGAAUGUUUGUCAGUAAAGAAGUGUUUGUGGCUCAGCUGGGUGGGGAGUACUGGAUCUGCUAGGAUUGACUGCUGUGCUCUGCCAUGCAAAGUGUCUGAUUAAGGCUGAAACCAGUACAAAGAAUCGCUUCUCCGACUGCGCGUAACAAUGACGUACAUCCCUAAUCUCCAGUCGUAUCCGGCCCGAUCUCUUGCCUUGAAGAGAUUCCUCGCUCCAACCACUUGGGUGCAGGAGCAGCUCAGUGGCAGCACAAGUUGUCAUCUGCUGGAUGAGAGUGAAUCCAUUUCCAGAUCCUCACUGCAGGAUCCACUUCUUUCACUGGCUCGUACGAGCUUGAAUAUGCGUAACCUUAAGGCACAUUUUCUUAGACUUCUUGAUUCAGCAAAAACUCAGGUAUAAGCAAGACAUGUUAG
ensembl:lncRNA